GCCAUUUCUCCCACAUUGGAAAUUCUUCAUCAAACAAACUUGAGAAAAAUGCUGCCAAGUCCAGGGGUUCUGGUUCCCCUUUCAAAUGCAUUGGUUUGGGUUUGGCACAACAAAUAAAAUCUGAGAGGGAUGAAGAGCUUACAGCUGCUAGGUUGCAUAUUGAAGAGCUAGAAUCCCUAGCUGUGAGUCGACAAAAAGAGAUAUUUGCAUUGAAUGCAAGAUUAGCUGCUGCGGAGAGCAUGACCCAUGAUGUCAUUCGAGAUUUAUUGGGAGUGAAAUUGGAUAUGACAAAUUAUGUGUCACUGUUGGAUAAUCAGCAAC
rnacentral:misc_RNA from 1 species